UACAGAGGUCCCAAGCGUUGUUCGGAUUCACUGGGCGUAAAGGGUGCGUAGGCGGUCGGGUAAGUCUGACGUGAAAUCUUCAAGCUCAACUUGGAAACUGCGUCCGAUACUAUUCGGCUAGAGGAAUGGAGGGGAGACUGGAAUACUUGGUGUAGCAGUGAAAUGCGUAGAUAUCAAGUGGAACACCAGUGGCGAAGGCGAGUCUCUGGACAGUUCCUGACGCUGAGGCACGAAGGUCAGGGGAGCAAACGGG
rnacentral:rRNA from 1 species